rnacentral:rRNA from 1 species
CAAUAGCGUAUAUUAAAGUUGUUGCAGUUAAAAAAGCUCGUAGUUGGAUUUCUGGCCGAGUGUCCCUAGGCCAGCAUGACGUUUGGUCCUAGGCGCUCUGCCAUCCUUCUGUCAACCUUCGCCUUCUUCAUUGGGGGCGCUGGGGCUCAGAUAUUUUACCUUGAGAAAAUUAGAGUGUUUCAGGCAGGCUUUCGCCGGAAUACAUUAGCAUGGAAUAAUGGAAAAGGACUUCAACCUCUUCUGUUGGUCUGAGAGGCUGUAGUAAUGAUUAAUAGGGAUAGUUGGGGGGCAUUAGUACUUAACUGUCAGAGGUGAAAUUCUUGGAUUUGCUGAAGACUAACUACUUGCGAAAAGCAUUCGCCAAGGAUGUUUUCAUUAAUCAGGGAACGAAAGUUAGGGGAUCGAAGACGAUCAGAUACCA